UACGUAGGGGGGCAAGCGUUGUCCGGAAUCAUUGGGCGUAAAGCGCGUGUAGGCGGCCCGGUAAGUCCGCUGUGAAAGUCGGGGGCUCAACCCUCGAAUGCCGGUGGAUACUGUCGGGCUAGAGUGCGGGAGAGGCGAGUGGAAUUCCUGGUGUAGCGGUGAAAUGCGCAGAUAUCAGGAGGAACACCGAUGGCGAAGGCAGCUCGCUGGGACGGUACUGACGCUGGAGGCGCGAAAGCGUGGGGAGCAAACAGG
rnacentral:rRNA from 1 species